ensembl:misc_RNA Metazoa_SRP Metazoan signal recognition particle RNA
GCCGGGCAUGGUGGCGGGUGCCUGCAAUCCAAGCUACUCGGGAGGCUGAGGCAGGAGAAUCGCUUGAACCCGGGAGGUGGAGGUUGCAGUGAGCUGAGAUUGCGCCACUGCACUCUAGCCUGGGCAACAAAGCAAGACUCUGUCUCAA